rnacentral:rRNA from 1 species
CGUAGGGUGCAAGCGUUAAUCGGAAUUACUGGGCGUAAAGCGUGCGCAGGCGGUUUUGUAAGACAGAUGUGGAAUCCCCGGGCUCAACCUGGGACCUGCAUUUGUGACUGCAAGGCUAGAGUACGGUAGAGGGGGAUGGAAUUCCGCGUGUAGCAGUGAAAUGCGUAGAUAUGCGGAGGAACACCGAUGGCGAAGGCAAUCCCCUGGACCUGUACUGACGCUCAUGCACGAAAGCGUGGGGAGCAAACAGGAUUAGAUACCCUGGUAGUCCACGCCCUAAACGAUGUCAACUGGUUGUUGGGUCUUUACUGACUCAGUAACGAAGCUAACGCGUGAAGUUGACCGCCUGGGGAGUACGGCCGCAAGGUUG